rnacentral:lncRNA from 1 species
CAUGGCCGAGGCACCGACCGGAAGCGCCGUUCCUCCCGCCCCGACGCGGUCGCGAUGGUAACCGGGCCCCGCGAGGAAAUGGAGGUAACUAUGCCUGAAAGAAGUGAGAGCUUAUUAAAGAGGUUUGCUUGGAGUGCAAUUCAAACUCACUGGGAAGACAGCAAAACCACCAAGAAUCGGCUCAUGCUGAGCUUUUAUCAGAAGGUGCCACAGAUGCAAAAUAGCAACAACUCCAGAGGAGCGGGAGGGUGGGGCGCAGUCUCGCGAGUGAGUCCCGCGGCCGCCCCUUUGGGCAGGGCUACUCUACUAACUGGGAGCCCGGGCCGAGACCUCCCCAGAGUCCUUCCCAAACCCGGCCAGCCUCCCUUUGCUUCCACUUCCAACCCACCACUGUGUUAGCCCGUGUCUUGUUAUAGUGAAAUAUGUGAGGCUGGG